UGUAAGGCAGUAUUUGGUGUACGUUAGUUUUUGGCUCUAGUAGAAUAAAUGAUUGUUUAUCCUUAUAU
rnacentral:tRNA from 1 species